UACAGAGGGUGCGAGCGUUAAUCGGAAUUACUGGGCGUAAAGCGUGCGUAGACGGUUACAUAAGUCGGGUGUGAAAGCCCCGGGCUCAACCUGGGAAUUGCAUUCGAGACUGCGUAGCUAGGGUGCGGAAGAGGGAAGCGGAAUUUCCGGUGUAGCGGUGAAAUGCGUAGAUAUCGGAAGGAACACCAGUGGCGAAAGCGGCUCCUGGUCCAGCACCGACGUCAGGCACGAAAGCGUGGGGAGCAAACAGGGA
rnacentral:rRNA from 1 species